rnacentral:rRNA from 1 species
UUAUGUGAUCGUCUCUCGCAUAUCAAUAAGCGGAGGAAAAGAAACUAACAAGGAUUCCCCUAGUAACGGCGAGUGAAGCGGGAAGAGCUCAAAUUUGAAAUCUUAAAGGGUUUCCCUUUACGAAUUGUAGUUUAAAGAAGUGUUUUCUGUUGAGGUUUUGGUAAAAGUUCUUUGGAAUAGGACAUCAUAGAGGGUGAGAAUCCCGUAUUUGACCUUUACUUUCAACUUUGUGAUACACUUUCAAAGAGUCGGAUUGUUUGGGAAUGCAGUCCAAAAUGGGUGGUAAAUUUCAUCUAAAGCUAAAUAUUGGCGAGAGACCGAUAGCGAACAAGUACCGUGAGGGAAAGAUGAAAAGAACUUUGAAAAGAGAGUUAAACAGUACGUGAAAUUGUCAAAAGGGAAGCGUUUGACACCAGUGUUGUUUUUCUGAAAAUCAAUUAAAGAACUGUUUAUGCUAAGUUGUUUAGACUUUAUCAGCUAACUGUUUAGUUUUGAGCUUUUCUUUAAUGCACUUUUCAGUUAACAAGUCAACAUCAAUUUCUUUUGCUGUAAAAAAGCUUGAGGAAGGUGGCUUGAGAUUCAGUCUUAAGUGUUUAUAGCCUCUUGCCUAUGCAGUCGGAGAGAUUGAGGUCUGCAGCGUAGAUCCUUCGGGGCUAAAUGCAUUUGUGCUAAGUUAUAGCAUUUUAUAGACAACUUGUUGACUAUGAUUUGUCUUGUAGCUUACUCGCUUAUGUUAUUUUACCUACGCUUAGGAUGUUGAGUAGCGACAUACGCAC